UACGUAGGGUGCGAGCGUUGUCCGGAAUUACUGGGCGUAAAGAGCUCGUAGGUGGUUUGUCGCGUUGUCCGUGAAAACUCACAACUCAAUUGUGGGCGUGCGGGCGAUACGGGCAGACUGGAGUACUGCAGGGGAGACUGGAAUUCCUGGUGUAGCGGUGGAAUGCGCAGAUAUCAGGAGGAACACCGGUGGCGAAGGCAGGUCUCUGGGCCGAUACUGACGCUGAGGAGCGAAAGCGUGGGGAGCGAACAGG
rnacentral:rRNA from 1 species